UUGCGUCCCGCAGGCCAGAUUUCGCUCAUGAAUCUGCCAGAAAGACAAAGCCAUGUUUUAUAUAAGAGUGUUAAUCAAACAUAAAUAAAGAGCGGGGAAUAAAAGCGUAAUUCGCCAUCCACCGCUAAUCUUUUGGGGAGACGAAGAAGAACGCACCGCCCACCGGUGUUACCACCGUCAGCAAAGUGAACGACACCGAGAGUUGAGGACUACAAUGACGUCUGAUGAAAGCCCUUUGGAUGACAUUUUGUGCUUUCGGAGGCUGAGCGCUCUCUCUGCGGCGGUGCUUAGGGUUCAUGCAUCUAACUGGAGGAGCUGCUGGAGAUGAGUUUCCUGAAUGGUUUUGUGUUGGUGCGUCUGUGAAUCCUCGGCCCUGGGUGUAUUGAAUAUCACCGUCGCUGACUAAAUCCGACAGUGACUGACAGCAGCUGAGACGCGAUGUACUGUACUGUACAGGCUCUCCUCAGUCAGACAGAUUCAGGGUUUGAACCCAUCAGAGGUGGAGAAGAACAGACCGACCACCUGCUGCCUCUUUGAGCUGACCUGACGUCUGCCACCGACAGAUGAUGAGGCAGAGGCUUCGUGGCUCGAGGGCUCUCAGAAAGCACAGAAUGGCUCCAGAAGAAAGAAAGGAGGGACUGUCUGAGACCGCUGGUCUUGACAGGGCUUUCAUUGAGCAGCAUCUGCUCUGUCACUGCUGUCUGUGUCCAGUUUGACUCAAUGGGCCGUCAUACUCAAGAG